rnacentral:rRNA from 1 species
ACUCCUACGGGAGGCAGCAGUGGGGAAUAUUGCACAAUGGGCGCAAGCCUGAUGCAGCCAUGCCGCGUGUAUGAAGAAGGCCUUCGGGUUGUAAAGUACUUUCAGCAGUGAGGAAGGUGGAUAUGUUAAUAGCAUAUUCUAUUUGUACGUUAGCUGCAGAAGAAGCACCGGCUAACUCCGUGCCAGCAGCCGCGGUAAGUACGGAGGGUGCGAGCGUUAAUCGGAAUUACUGGGCGUAAAGCGCAUGCAGGUGGUUUGUUAAGUCAGAUGUGAAAGCCCGGGGCUCAACCUCGGAAUUGCAUUUGAAACUGGCAAACUAGAGUACUGUAGAGGGGGUAGAAUUUCAGGUGUAGCGGUGAAAUGCGUAGAGAUCUGAAGGAAUACCGGUGGCGAAGGCGCCCCGUGGACAGAUACUGACACUCAGAUGCGAAAGCGUGGGAGCAAACAGGAUUAGAUA